rnacentral:rRNA from 1 species
CACGUAGGGCGCAAGCGUUGUCCGGAAUUAUUGGGCGUAAAGAGCUCGUAGGCGGUCUGUUGCGUCCGCUGUGAAAACUCGGGGCUUAACCCCGAGCCUGCAGUGGAUACGGGCAGACUAGAGGUAGGUAGGGGAGAAUGGAAUUCCCGGUGUAGCGGUGAAAUGCGCAGAUAUCGGGAGGAACACCGGUGGCGAAGGCGGUUCUCUGGGCCUUACCUGACGCUGAGGAGCGAAAGCGUGGGGAGCGAACAGGAUUAGAUACCCG